GAUGAACGCUGGCGGCGUGCCUAAUACAUGCAAGUCGAGCGAACGGACGAGAAUCUUGCUUCUCUUAUGUUAGCGGCGGACGGGUGAGUAACACGUGGAUAACCUACCUAUAAGACUGGGAUAACUUCGGGAAACCUGAGCUAAUACCGGAUAAUAUUUUGAACCGCAUGGUUCUAAAGUGAAAGACGUUCUUGCUGUCACUUAUAGAUGUAUCCGCGCUGCAUUAGCUAGUUGGUAAGGUAACGGCUUACCAAGGCAACGAUGCAUAGCCGACCUGAGAGGGUGAUCGGCCACACUGGAACUGAGAAACGGUCCAGACUCCUACGGGAGGCAGCAGUAGGGAAUCUUCCGCAAUGGGCGAAAGCCUGACGGAGCAACGCCGCGUGAGUGAUGAAGGUCUUCGGAUCGUAAAACUCUGUUAUUAGGGAAGAACAUAUGUGUAAGUAACUGUGCACAUCUGGACGGUACAUAAUCAGAAAGCCACGGCUAACUACGU
rnacentral:rRNA from 1 species